GAUGAACGCUGACAGAAUGCUUAACACAUGCAAGUCGAUUCAAGUUACCUUCGGGUAAUGAGGAUGGCGGACGGGUGAGUAACGCGUAAGGAACUUGCCUCUUGGUCUGGGACAACUGUUGGAAACGACAGCUAAUACCGGAUAUUAUGAGAUUCUCGCAUGGGAAACUUAUGAAAGCUAUAUGCGCCAAGAGAGAGCCUUGCGUUCCAUUAGCUAGUUGGUGGGGUAAUGGCCCACCAAGGCGACGAUGGAUAGCCGGCCUGAGAGGGUGAACGGCCACAAGGGGACUGAGACACGGCCCUUACUCCUACGGGAGGCAGCAGUGGGGAAUAUUGGACAAUGGGCCACAAGCCUGAUCCAGCAAUUCUGUGUGCACGAUGAAGGUCUUCGGAUUGUAAAGUGCUUUCAGUUGGGAAGAAGAAAGUGACGGUACCAACAGAAGAAGCGACGGCUAAAUACGUGCCAGCAGCCGCGGUAAUACGUAUGUCGCAAGCGUUAUCCGGAUUUAUUGGGCGUAAAGCGCGUCUAGGCGGAAAAAUAAGUCUGAUGUUAAAAUGCGGGGCUCAACUCCGUAUUGCGUUGGAAACUGUUUUUCUAGAGUACUGGAGAGGUGGGCGGAACUACAAGUGUAGAGGUGAAAUUCGUAGAUAUUUGUAGGAAUGCCGAUGGAGAAGUCAGCUCACUGGACAGAUACUGACGCUAAAGCGCGAAAGCGUGGGGAGCNAACAGGAUUAGAUACCCUGGUAGUCCACGCCGUAAACGAUGAUCACUAG
rnacentral:rRNA from 1 species